rnacentral:rRNA from 1 species
AUGGUGAAAGGCGCAGUCCGCUAUGAGCCUGGACCGGCAUUUCAGGAGAGUGGAGAGCAGGGCAAGCUUGAAAUACCAGCAUCUGGCUCCACAGAAUUUUGGCUAAUACAGUGGCCUCUAAACCAUGUAAAUGCUUCUGAUUUUAAUGGUAAAGAAGCUUCUCUUAAGCUUAAUGACGAUGGAAACUUGGGAAAUUUGGAGAGUUCUUCGGGGAAAUCAUAUGAACUCGUUAGCUUUGCUGCUCAACAACCAGAUGCUACUGUCUUCAUUCCAUCAGGAUCUGAAAUGAAAGCCGUGGGGAAGAUUUCACGCAGAGUUUGCUUGGUUCGUUACCCUGAACCUGAAGAAUUGGAGAAAGAGAAACCAAGUUUUGGGAGUCUUACACCUGGCAGUAGGAGAUCUGCAGGUUCUUCUCGGAAGACUAUGUCUCGGUUCAGUGGCUUCUCGAAGAACCGUAGCAGCCAAGGAUCAGCAUUGUCCCUGGGUCAGGAGAAGCGUAGCAGCCAAGGAUCAGCAUUGUCCCAGGGUGAACAGAGCGCGGAGCCGACGCCCAAACACAAGCAGAAGAGAAGGGACGAAAGCAGCUUGGGGGGCCACUCAAACGUGGCCGCCAAGUCCUCGGAAGGAUCCCAGGCUCGUGGCGCAGGAAGCAACACAACCUCUGAGAUGCCGCAGACGCCCGUCGAGAAAUCCAAGAAGAAGAAGAGAGUUAGGAUUGAAGAGUAG